rnacentral:tRNA from 1 species
GGUGAGAUGGCAGAGUGGCCUAAUGCACUGACCUGCUAAGUCAGAGUACCGACUUUAGGUACCGAGGGUUCAAAUCCCUCUCUCACCGCCA